rnacentral:rRNA from 1 species
GUACGACGGUGAAGCUCCAGCUUGCUGGAGUGGAUCAGUGGCGAACGGGUGAGUAACACGUGAGCAACCUGCCCCAAACUCUGGAAUAAGCGCUGGAAACGGCGUCUAAUACUGGAUACGAGACCAACCUGCAUGGGUAUGGUUUGGAAAGUUUUUCGGUUUGGGAUGGGCUCGCGGCCUAUCAGCUUGUUGGUGAGGUAAUGGCUCACCAAGGCGACGACGGGUAGCCGGCCUGAGAGGGCGACCGGCCACACUGGGACUGAGACACGGCCCAGACUCCUACGGGAGGCAGCAGUGGGGAAUAUUGCACAAUGGGCGAAAGCCUGAUGCAGCGACGCCGCGUGAGGGAUGACGGCCUUCGGGUUGUAAACCUCUUUCAGCAGGGAAGAAGCGAAAGUGACGGUACCUGCAGAAGAAGCACCGGCUAACUACGUGCCAGCAGCCGCGGUAAUACGUAGGGUGCGAGCGUUGUCCGGAAUUAUUGGGCGUAAAGAGCUUGUAGGCGGUUUGUCGCGUCUGCUGUGAAAAUCCGGGGCUCAACCCCGGACUUGCAGUGGGUACGGGCAGACUAGAGUGUGGUAGGGGAGACUGGAAUUCCUGGUGUAGCGGUGAAAUGCGCAGAUAUCAGAGGAAC